rnacentral:sRNA from 1 species
UGUGAGCUGGUAGAAGUCCAUGACUUGC